rnacentral:rRNA from 1 species
CCCUUAGAUGUCCUGGGCCGCACGCGUGCUACACUGACACUUACACCGAGUUUUUCCAAUGCCGAAAGGCCAUUGGUAAUCAGCAAUAAGUGUCGUGAUGGGGAUAGAUCUUUGGAAUUAUUGAUCUUGAACGAGGAAUGCCUAGUAAUCGUAGGUCAUCAGCCUGCGAUGAUUACGUCCCUGCCCUUUGUACACACCGCCCGUCGCUCCUACCGAUUGGGUGCUCCGGUGAAUUGUUUGGACUGCUGUCAGUCUUUUAGGCUGUUGGCGAGAAGCUCUGUGAACCUUAGCACCUAGAGGAAGGAGAAGUCGUAACA